rnacentral:misc_RNA from 1 species
UCAUCUUCUUUUAUGAGAAUUCCCAAGGGUGGAUGGGUUCCUCUUGUGCUCUCUGCAGUCUCCACGUUCAUUAUGUUUGUUUGGCAUUAUGGUAGCAGGAAGAAGUAUUUAUAUGAUGUACAUAACAAAGUACCCAUGAAAUGGAUCCUCACUCUUGGUUCUGAUCUUGGCAUUGUAAGGGUUCCUGGGAUUGGUCUUAUCUACACUGAGUUAGCUAGUGGCGUCCCAGCCACAUUUUCCCAUUUCUUAACCAACUUACCGGCAUUUUACAAGGUGGUUGUAUUUGUCUGUGUUAAGAUUGUUCCUGUUCCUUAUGUCCCCCAAAAUGAAAGGUAUCUUAUUGGUCGGAUUGGCC